UUUAGAAUUUUUACUUGAAGAGAACAAAAAAUCUUAAAAAAAAAAUUUAUAUAUACUCAGAGUAAUAAUAUUCUGAAAAAUGUAUAUCCCUAAAUAAUAAGGAGGUAUCCUUAAAUCAAAAAGCUUAAAUUUAUGGAAAAUUGUUAUUCCUGGAAUUUGGUGACGGUAUUUUAUCAAGAAAAUUGAAGGCUGUAAGAGGAAUCAUAAUAUAAUUCAAAACUCAAAACGUUCUCUUGGGAUUCAAUUGGGAUUUUAAGCUAUCGCAAAGUUCGCAUUGCAACUAUAUCCUGAGGGGAUCGAAUACGAUAUAGAAUAGUGAUAUAAUAUUCCCGUCAACAAGUUUCUGGAUAAGCGGAACUAUGACAAUAGGAAUUAUGAUUUUUUAUAUCCUUGGCUCCUGGCAAACGAGAUGUCUGGAUUAUACUUAAGGUUAUAUAAUAUGCUAACAAAACUAGAGAAAUUUUAGAUUGUAAAAGCGAUUAAUAUAUCCUUCAUCAUACCUCCAUUACCACUUCAUACAUAAACGGCAAAUGUAAUUCAAAUCAA